GGUUAAGUUAGAAAGGGCGCACGGUGGAUGCCUUGGCACUAGGAGCCGAUGAAGGACGGGACGAACACCGAUAUGCUUCGGGGAGCUGUAAGCAAGCUUUGAUCCGGAGAUUUCCGAAUGGGGAAACCCACCACUCGUAAUGGAGUGGUAUCCAUAUCUGAAUACAUAGGAUAUGAGAAGGCAGACCCGGGGAACUGAAACAUCUAAGUACCCGGAGGAAGAGAAAGCAAAUGCGAUUCCCUGAGUAGCGGCGAGCGAAACGGGAUCAGCCCAAACCAAGAGGCUUGCCUCUUGGGGUUGUAGGACACUCUGUACGGAGUUACAAAGGAACGAGGUAGAUGAAGAGGUCUGGAAAGGCCCGCCAUAGAAGGUAACAGCCCUGUAGUCAAAACUUCGUUCUCUCCUGAGUGGAUCCUGAGUACGGCGGAACACGUGAAAUUCCGUCGGAAUCCGGGAGGACCAUCUCCCAAGGCUAAAUACUCCCUAGUGACCGAUAGUGAACCAGUACCGUGAGGGAAAGGUGAAAAGCACCCCGGAAGGGGAGUGAAAGAGAUCCUGAAACCGUGUGCCUACAAGUAGUCAGAGCCCGUUAACGGGUGAUGGCGUGCCUUUUGUAGAAUGAACCGGCGAGUUACGAUCCCGUGCAAGGUUAAGCAGAAGAUGCGGAGCCGCAGCGAAAGCGAGUCUGAAUAGGGCGAAUUGAGUACGUGGUCGUAGACCCGAAACCAGGUGAUCUACCCAUGUCCAGGGUGAAGUUCAGGUAACACUGAAUGGAGGCCCGAACCCACGCACGUUGAAAAGUGCGGGGAUGAGGUGUGGGUAGGGGUGAAAUGCCAAUCGAACCUGGAGAUAGCUGGUUCUCUCCGAAAUAGCUUUAGGGCUAGCCUCAAGGUAAGAGUCUCGGAGGUAGAGCACUGAUUGGACUAGGGGCCCCUACCGGGUUACCGAAUUCAGUCAAACUCCGAAUGCCGAUGACUUAUCCUUGGGAGUCAGACUGCGAGUGAUAAGAUCCGUAGUCGAAAGGGAAACAGCCCAGACCGCCAGCUAAGGUCCCAAAGUAUACGUUAAGUGGAAAAGGAUGUGGAGUUGCUUAGACAACCAGGAUGUUGGCUUAGAAGCAGCCACCAUUUAAAGAGUGCGUAAUAGCUCACUGGUCGAGUGACUCUGCGCCGAAAAUGUACCGGGGCUAAACGUAUCACCGAAGCUGCGGACUGUUCUUCGAACAGUGGUAGGAGAGCGUUCUAAGGGCUGUGAAGCAAGACCGGAAGGACUUGUGGAGCGCUUAGAAGUGAGAAUGCCGGUAUGAGUAGCGAAAGAGGGGUGAGAAUCCCCUCCACCGAAUGCCUAAGGUUUCCUGAGGAAGGCUCGUCCGCUCAGGGUUAGUCGGGACCUAAGCCGAGGCCGAAAGGCGUAGGCGAUGGAUAACAGGUUGAUAUUCCUGUACCACCUCCUCACCAUUUGAGCAAUGGGGGGACGCAGGAGGAUAGGGUAAGCGCGGUAUUGGAUAUCCGCGUCCAAGCAGUUAGGCUGGGAAAUAGGCAAAUCCGUUUCCCGUGAAGGCUGAGCUGUGAUGGCGAGCGAAUUAUAGUAGCGAAGUUCCUGAUUCCACACUGCCAAGAAAAGCCUCUAGCGAGGUGAGAGGUGCCCGUACCGCAAACCGACACAGGUAGGCGAGGAGAGAAUCCUAAGGUGAUCGAGAGAACUCUCGUUAAGGAACUCGGCAAAAUGACCCCGUAACUUCGGGAGAAGGGGUGCUCUGUUAGGGUGCAAGCCCGAGAGAGCCGCAGUGAAUAGGCCCAGGCGACUGUUUAGCAAAAACACAGGUCUCUGCGAAGCCGUAAGGCGAAGUAUAGGGGCUGACGCCUGCCCGGUGCUGGAAGGUUAAGAGGAGCGCUUAGCGUAAGCGAAGGUGCGAAUUGAAGCCCCAGUAAACGGCGGCCGUAACUAUAACGGUCCUAAGGUAGCGAAAUUCCUUGUCGGGUAAGUUCCGACCCGCACGAAAGGCGCAACGAUCUGGGCACUGUCUCAACGAGAGACUCGGUGAAAUUAUAGUACCUGUGAAGAUGCAGGUUACCCGCGACAGGACGGAAAGACCCCGUGGAGCUUUACUGCAGCCUGAUAUUGAAUGUUGGUACAGCUUGUACAGGAUAGGUAGGAGCCUUGGAAACCGGAGCGCCAGCUUCGGUGGAGGCAUCGGUGGGAUACUACCCUGGCUGUAUUGACCUUCUAACCCGCCGCCCUUAUCGGGCGGGGAGACAGUGUCAGGUGGGCAGUUUGACUGGGGCGGUCGCCUCCUAAAAGGUAACGGAGGCGCCCAAAGGUUCCCUCAGAAUGGUUGGAAAUCAUUCGCAGAGUGUAAAGGCACAAGGGAGCUUGACUGCGAGACCUACAAGUCGAGCAGGGACGAAAGUCGGGCUUAGUGAUCCGGUGGUUCCGCAUGGAAGGGCCAUCGCUCAACGGAUAAAAGCUACCCCGGGGAUAACAGGCUUAUCUCCCCCAAGAGUCCACAUCGACGGGGAGGUUUGGCACCUCGAUGUCGGCUCAUCGCAUCCUGGGGCUGUAGUCGGUCCCAAGGGUUGGGCUGUUCGCCCAUUAAAGCGGUACGCGAGCUGGGUUCAGAACGUCGUGAGACAGUUCGGUCCCUAUCCGUCGCGGGCGCAGGAAAUUUGAGAGGAGCUGUCCUUAGUACGAGAGGACCGGGAUGGACGCACCGCUGGUGUACCAGUUGUUCUGCCAAGGGCAUCGCUGGGUAGCUAUGUGCGGACGGGAUAAGUGCUGAAAGCAUCUAAGCAUGAAGCCCCCCUCAAGAUGAGAUUUCCCAUUCCGCAAGGAAGUAAGAUCCCUGAAAGAUGAUCAGGUUGAUAGGUCUGAGGUGGAAGUGUGGCGACACAUGGAGCUGACAGAUACUAAUCGAUCGAGGACUUAACCAA
rnacentral:rRNA from 1 species